AUUCAAGCAAUAUUUGUUUAUCUAUAAAAUGGUACAGUUAAAUUUAUUGUGUAAUUUAUAGACAAGCGAAUUGAUUUGAUCCAAAGCUAAUGAAGAGAUAAAAAUUUUAAAAUUAAUUUAUAGACCAAAAUUGGUCGGAAAAUCUUCCCAAAAAACCAAAAUCAAACGUUAUUUUCUCGAUCGAAUUCUGUCAUUUUUUUAUUAUGCAAUUAAAAAAUAUACCGUCUCGGACUCAAACC
rnacentral:lncRNA from 1 species